UUUAAUUAGUAUUCUUCAAGG
rnacentral:piRNA from 1 species